rnacentral:rRNA from 1 species
CCGGGACCAUCCGGUAAGGCUAAAUACUCCCGAGAGACCGAUAGCGAACCAGUACCGUGAGGGAAAGGUGAAAAGCACUUCGAACAGAAGAGUGAAAUAGUUCCUGAAACCGUGCGCCUACAAGCGGUCGGAGCUCGUUAAUGAGUGACGGCGUGCCUUUUGCAUAAUGAACCUACGAGUUGCCUUUGCCGGCAAGGUUAAGUGUGACGACACACGUAUCCGAAGCGAAAGCGAGUCUGAACAGGGCGUAUAGUCGGCAGUGGCAGACGCGAAACCAAGUGAUCUACCCUUGGCCAGGUUGAAGGCUGGGUAACACCAGCUGGAGGACCGCACCAAUAAGCGUUGAAAAGCUUCUGGAUGAGCUGAGGGUAGGGGUGAAAGGCUAAUCAAACUUGGAGAUAGCUCGUACUCCCCGAAAUGCAUUUAGGUGCAGCCUUGCGGGUUACUGAUGUGAGGUAGAGCGACUGAUAAGAUGCGAGGGCUUCACCGCCUAUCAAGUCUUGACAAACUCCGAAUGCGCAUCAGUUCUACCGCAGGAGUGAGGGCAUGGGUGCUAAGGUCCGUGCCCGAGAGGAGAAGAAUCCGGACCACCUGCUAAGGUCCCGAAAUGACAGCUAAGUUAAACUAACGAAGUCUGACUGCUAAGACAGCUAGGAUGUUGGCUUGGAAGCAGCCAUUCAUUUAAAGAGUGCGUAACAGCUCACUAGUCGAGGAGUCGGGCGUGGAUAAUAAUCGGGUAUCAAGUUGUCUACCGAAGCAGUGGGAUCAUUUAUAUGAUCGGUAGGGGAGCAUUCCAGUCAGCGUCGAAGGCGUACCGUGAGGUAUUCUGGAGCGUCUGGAAAAGCAAAUGUAGGUAUAAGUAACGAUAAAGGGGGCGGGAAACCCCCUCGCCGAAAGACUAAGGUUUCCUGAUCAACGCUAAUCGGAUCAGGGUCAGUCGGGUCCUAAGGCUCAGCCGAACGGCGAUGCCGAUGGCAGAAACGGUUAAUAUUCCGUUACUACCUUCAGGAGUGACGUGGAGACGCAGUAGUGACAGUGCCGCCAUCUGACGGAAUAGAUGGUUGAAGGGUGUAGGAGUCGAUCAUGGCAGGCAAAUCCACCAUGAGAUCCGAACCUGAUAGUAUGCCGCGUCCUUCGGGACAAGGCAAUAGUGCGCGUAAGCAUGCUGCCGAGAAAAUCCGCUAAACUUAAUCCUGCAGGUACCCGUACCGCAAACGGACACACGUAGUCGGGAUGAAUAUUCUAAGGCGCUUGAGUGAUUCACGGUUAAGGAACUAGGCAAACUGACCCUGUAACUUCGGGAUAAAGGGUCCCUACCCUUUUAUGGGAGGGCGCAGAGAAUCGGUCCAGGCAACUGUUUAACAAAAACACAGGGCUGUGCCAAAUCGAAAGAUCCAGUAUACAGCCUGACACCUGCCCGGUGCUGGAAGGUUAAGAGGAGAUGUCAUCGAUAAGAGAAGCGUUGAAUUGAAGCCCCAGUAAACGGCGGCCGUAACUAUAACGGUCCUAAGGUAGCGAAAUUCCUUGUCGGGUAAGUUCCGACCUGCACGAAUGGUGUAAUGAUCUGGACGCUGUCUCAACCGUGAGCUCAGUGAAAUUGUAGUAUCGGUGAAGAUGCCGAUUACCCGCGAUGGGACGAAAAGACCCCGUGAACCUUUACUAUAGCUUAUCAUUGAAUCUGGGCACGUGAUGUGUAGGAUAGGUCGGAGGCUUUGAAGCAGGUACGCCAGUAUUUGUGGAGCCGCUGUUGAAAUACGACCCUUUAUUUGUUUGGAUUCUAACCCGUGGAACGGGGACAUUGAUUGGUGGGUAGUUUGACUGGGGUGGUCGCCUCCAAAAGCGUAACGGAGGCUUCUAAAGGUGCCC